rnacentral:lncRNA from 10 species
GCAGACUGGAAGGGUGGGAAAGAGAUCAAAUUAGAGAAAACCAAGGGAAGAGCAACUGCCAGCCACCUAGGAAAAAGGAGAGAGGCCUAGGUGACAGGACCCCGAGUUGGAGAGAAAGACACACAGAGGGGUGAGUCAGAGGAAAGCUACAGAAGGGUGUGCUGGGGACAGGCGUCAAGAGGUGAGGCUGCCUCAGGGAGAGGAAGCACGGGAGGAGACCUGGCCCAGGAGAGUUUCAGAGGCUCCUCCCAGCAGCGUGCAGUAGUACCUCCUCCCCCAAGAAAUCAGGAUUGUGCAGGAAACACUCUCCUACUUCUCAGUGGCCACUGGAGAGCUCUGAACCCAGCCCAGGGUCAACUGCCCGGCACUGUCAGGCAGUUCCUCUGACUCCACAGCACAUUCUAAUUGCAGUCACUGAAAAGGAAAUCAGGACACAGACAUGAGCACGUACAGAGAAAAGACUGUGCCAGGAGCAGGCUGCCAUCUGCAAGCCAAGGAGAGAGCUCUCAGAAAAAAACGAUCUUGCCGACACCUUCCUUUUGCACUUCCAGCCUCCAGGACUGUAAGAAAAGAAAUUUCUGUUGUUUAAGCCACCAAGUAGUAUUUCGUUAUAGCAGUCCAAGCAAACUAAUGCACAUAUCAAAACUACUUUAGUUUUUCCACUUUGUUGCAAACAAUUGCAAGUUGUCCAGGUUUUCUGUCUUCCCCCAGCCUGCAAGUGCUCAGAGGACACCCAACCCUAUGAUCUCAGCCAACUCAUGAAGUUUGAUUUCACAACUUAGUGAUGUCUUCCCAGUGGAAUCCUAAAUGAUAAGGAAAAUGGUAUAGAGCCAAGACUUGAACAUUAACAACCCAGGAGCACAGAAACAGCACAGUUAGCUGAGAGGCGUUAUGGAGAGAAGCAACCGAAUGCACACUGAGCGCUGUGAGAAGUCCACGACAGUGGGGAACAGCGCCCACCGUCACAAAAAGAAAGACCCUCGGCAGGUUGACUGCUCAUCCAUUAGCAGCAGAUGUCUCUUGAGUAGCUGAACCACAC